UUCCUUAUAGACGCAUUUACGUCAAAACAUGUCUUCAUAACGAUAAAACAUAAAAACCGGAGGAAAUUUCCAAAAUGAGUCGGAACCACACUGGCAACGGAACGAGUUCAUCGGCUGGACACUGGUAUUGACCGACGGAAGAUAAAGUCCUCGAUUGACCAGUCUUUAACCUGCCAUUCAUCAAUCCGGGGGCUACACGAACUCUGACUAGCUUCCGAUAAAAUUCCAUCACCCCACGUCAAUCUCCCAAUACGACCAAUUCCCUCAACCAAUUCGCUAGUUCAAUGAAGUUCACAGCGCCAACAUGAUAUAGUAAUUACAUGGUACAUUCAGAUGUUAA